rnacentral:rRNA from 1 species
CACGUAGGGGCCAAGCGUUGUCCGGAUUUAUUGGGCGUAAAGAGCUUGUAGGCGGUUUGUCGCGUCUGCUGUGAAAUCCGGGCUCAACCCCGGACUUGCAGUGGGUACGGCAGACUAGAGUGUGGUAGGGGAGACUGGAAUUCCUGGUGUAGCGGUGGAAUGCGCAGAGUAUCAGGAGGAACACCGAUGGCGAAGGCAGGUCUCUGGGCCACUACUGACGCUGGAGGAGCGAAAGCGUGGGAGCAAACAGG